GGUGUGUGGAAUGGAGGCUGAUCCAAGAUCCUUGCUUGGUGCAAAAUACUAGGGCAUUGUAGUAAGUGCAAUUGGUUCUAUUUUGUUUCCGAGUUUGGGGUCUCGGACCAGGCUUCAUUCCUCACACC
rnacentral:pre_miRNA from 1 species